rnacentral:tRNA from 1 species
GGGCCCGUAGUAUAAUGGUUAAUACACGUCCAUGGCAUGGAUGAGUUAUGGGUUCGAUUCCCAUCGGGUCCA